rnacentral:rRNA from 1 species
AUUGAACGCUGGCGGCAGGCCUAACACAUGCAAGUCGAACGAGUGGCGGACGGGUGAGUAAUGUCUGGGAAACUGCCUGAUGGAGGGGGAUAACUACUGGAAACGGUAGCUAAUACCGCAUACCAUCCGAUUUACCCAGAUGGGAUUGGCUUUGUGGUGGGGUAAAGGCUCACCAAGGCGACGAUCCCUAGCUGGUCUGAGGGGAGGACCAGCCACACUGGAACUGAGACCCGGUCCAGACUCCUACGGGAGGCAGCAGUGGGGAAUAUUGCACAAUGGGCGCAAGCCUGAUGCAGCCAUGCCGCGUGUAUGAAGAAGGCCUUCGGGCUGUAAAGUACUUUCAGCGGGGAGGCGUUACCCGAAGAAGAAGCACCGGCUAACUCCGUGCCAGCCGCCGCGGUAAUUC